UACGAAGGGGGCUAGCGUUGCUCGGAAUCACUGGGCGUAAAGGGUGCGUAGGCGGGUCUUUUAGUCAGGGGUGAAAUCCUGGAGCUCAACUCCAGAACUGCCUUUGAUACUGAGGAUCUUGAGUUCGGGAGAGGUGAGUGGAACUGCGAGUGUAGAGGUGAAAUUCGUAGAUAUUCGCAAGAACACCAGUGGCGAAGGCGGCUUACUGGACCAUAACUGACGCUGAUGCACGAAAGCUGGGGGAGCAAACAGG
rnacentral:rRNA from 1 species